rnacentral:rRNA from 1 species
GAUGAACGCUGGCGGCGUGCCUAACACAUGCAAGUCGAACGGAGUCGUUUUGGAAAUCUCUUCGGAGAUGGAAUUCUCGACUUAGUGGCGGACGGGUGAGUAACGCGUGAGCAAUCUGCCUUUAAGAGGGGGAUAACAGUCGGAAACGGCUGCUAAUACCGCAUAAAGCAUUAAAUUCGCAUGUUUUUGAUGCCAAAGGAGCAAUCCGCUUUUAGAUGAGCUCGCGUCUGAUUAGCUAGUUGGCGGGGUAACGGCCCACCAAGGCGACGAUCAGUAGCCGGACUGAGGGGUUGAACGGCCACAUUGGGACUGAGACACGGCCCAGACUCCUACGGGAGGCAGCAGUGGGGAAUAUUGCGCAAUGGGGGAAACCCUGACGCAGCAACGCCGCGUGAUUGAAGAAGGCCUUCGGGGUGUAAAGAUCUUUAAUCAGGGACGAAACAAAUGACGGUACCUGAAGAAUAAGCUCCGGCUAACUACGUG